rnacentral:rRNA from 1 species
UUGACCUCGAAUCAGGUAGGGAUACCCGCUGAACUUAAGCAUAUCAAUAAGCGGANNNNNNNNNNNNNNNNNNNNNNNNNNNNGUAACGGCGAGUGAAGCGGUAACAGCUCAAAUUUGAAAUCUGGCUCCUGCGGAGUCCGAGUUGUAAUUUGUAGAAGAUGCUUUGGGAGGUCGGCUCGGCCUAAGUUCCUUGGAACAGGACAUCAGAGAGGGUGAGAAUCCCGUAUGUGGCCGUGGCCGACGCCCGUGUAAAGCUCUUUCGACGAGUCGAGUUGUUUGGGAAUGCAGCUCAAAAUGGGUGGUAAAUUUCAUCUAAAGCUAAAUAUUGGCCAGAGACCGAUAGCGCACAAGUAGAGUGAUCGAAAGAUGAAAAGCACUUUGGAAAGAGAGUUAAACAGUACGUGAAAUUGUUGAAAGGGAAGCGCUUGCACCCAGACUUGGGCGUCGGCGAUCAUCCGAGGUUCUCCUCGGUGCACUCGGCGAGGCCCAGGCCAGCAUCGGUUUCGAUGGUUGGAGAAAGGCUCUAGGAACGUAGCUCGCUUCGGGGAGUGUUAUAGCCUAGGGCGUAAUGCAGCCCAUCGGGACCGAGGACCGCGCCUUCGGGCUAGGAUGCUGGCGUAAUGGUUGCAAGCGACCCGUCUUGAAACACGGACCAAGGAGUCUAACAUCUAUGCGAGUGUUUGGGCGUUAAACCCAUACGCGGAAUGAAAGUGAACGUAGGUGAGAACCCGUCUGGGUGCAUCAUCGACCGAUCCUGAUGUCUUCGGA